rnacentral:hammerhead_ribozyme from 1 species
AUCCAGUUGACGAGUCCCAAAUAGGACGAAACGCGUGUUGUCCUAGAG